ACCAGGUGUGUACUGAGUUGAGACUCCUGCAUUACUGGCUCUGGCUGCAGCUGCAACAGUAACUCUUCCUUGUGGGGUCAUCACCUUCUGGGAUGACCCUCCAAUAUCUCAUACUAGCCCAGAAAAACCUACAGGAACUUGGGGCAUGGGAACACCAGAUGGGAUUCCUCUUCUAGCAGCCUUGAGAAUACCUGGCCAUCCAGCAGCUUCAACAAUUGGCACUCGGGCAAUGCCAGUAUCUUUAGGAGGAGGAGGUCCUUCUACUGUCGUGUAGACCAGGUUCUCCCCCAUAAAGCAACACCAGAACAAUGACUCACUUCUCUUCUAUUUCUGCUUGUUUGGAGUUCUUUAGCUUAAUCUUCCUGAACUCAUCACAGACACAGAAGAUAAAUUCAUAUGCUUGUCAAAUGCUUUGAAGGUCCAGUAAAGAUCUAGCCAUUUUGCAGGAUGCCUCUCAUCCUGUAGUUAAUGUGCUGCACCAUCUUGUUGCUAUUGUUCACAGUCAUCAUGGCAGCUCACAUGGCUUAGUUUCCUGAUGGAUUGAUUCACUUCCAUAGAGGCCUCCUUGACUCAGAGCCAGCAACUAGAUUCCUGCCCCCUGCUAACUGUCAUAGUUCUAAACACUGGGUAGCUAAAAUAUGAUUUUGUUAAUUGAGGAUACUUUUAUGAAUCAUGUUUCAUUGUACUGCCCCAUAUAAUACCUGGGUCUUCAUAAUUUUAAAGGAGAAAUAAACAAUAACACAAAAAAGUUCUAGUCUACAUUUACUUGUGUGCGUGUUUGAUUUUUUUUUUUUUGUCGUUGUUCUUAGUACUGAUGGUGCAGUAGCCAAAUAUCAGACUUAAUGCGACUAUUCUUACUUAAUUACAGAUGUGUUUGCUUAAAAAUAUCCCUUCAUCUCUUUAAAGUGAUCACAUCCAAUAUGAAGAAUGACUGUUUUAACUUAGAAAACAAUUACCUGCAGUGUGGGGCUGUGGACCAUGAGAGGAAGCCUAGUAAGGUUGAGCUAAAGGCUUGAAAGCUCAAGACUCUAAAAGAGUGGUAAGAGCUUUGCCUGCUCCCAGCAAAAGGCUCCUGUCAUAUAUCUACAGCCCUCUAUAUUAUUGUGGCCAUCAGUGAUGUAAGGGCAAUGCCCCUAGCACUUCCACAUGUAGAUGAGGCAUUCCUAACAACUCAGAUGAAAAUAAUAGUAAAAGGGGAUGUGACUGCAGUCAAUUAGGCCUAAAACUGAGUUCUCCAUGCUAAUGAGGUAAGAAGAAGCCCAGAGGGCAAGCUAAUAAUCUUCCCUUCCCAGACAUUCCUCCCUGCAAAAGACAUUUAAUCUCAGAUCCACGCUAAGAAUUGGCGUAUGACCAGUAAGAAUGGCUAAGAUCAAAAAUUCAGGAGACAGAAAAUACUGGUGAAGAUGUGGAGAAAGAGAAACACUCCUCCAUUGCUGGUGGGAUUGCAAACUGGUGCAACUACUCUGGAAAUCAGUCUGGUGUUUCCUCAGAAAAUUUGACAUAGUACUACUGGAAGAUCCAGCAAUACCACUCCUGGGCAUAUACCCAGAAGAUGCUACAACUUGUAAUAAGGACACAUACUCCACUAUGUUCAUAGCAGUCUUAUUGAUAAUAGACAGAAGCUGGAAAAAACCCAGAUGUCCCUCAACAGAGGAAUGGAUACAGAAAAUGUGGUACAUUUACACAAUGGAAUACUACUCAGCUAUUAAAAGCAAUAAAUAUAUGAAAUUCUUAGACAAAUGGAUGCAUCUGGAGGAUAUCAUCAUGAGUGAGAUAACCCAAUC
rnacentral:lncRNA from 1 species